AUUGAACGCUGGCGGCAGGCCUAACACAUGCAAGUCGAGCGGAUGAAGGGAGCUUGCUCCUGGAUUCAGCGGCGGACGGGUGAGUAAUGCCUAGGAAUCUGCCUGGUAGUGGGGGAUAACGUCCGGAAACGGGCGCUAAUACCGCAUACGUCCUGAGGGAGAAAGUGGGGGAUCUUCGGACCUCACGCUAUCAGAUGAGCCUAGGUCGGAUUAGCUAGUUGGUGGGGUAAAGGCCUACCAAGGCGACGAUCCGUAACUGGUCUGAGAGGAUGAUCAGUCACACUGGAACGGAGACACGGUCCAGGCUCCUACGGGAGGCAGCAGUGGGGAAUAUUGGACAAUGGGCGAAAGCCUGAUCCAGCCAGGCCGCGUGUGUGAAGAAGGUCUUCGGAUUGUAAAGCACUUUAAGUUGGGAGGAAGGGCAGUAAGUUAAUACCUUGCUGUUUUGACGGUACCAACAGAAUAAGCACCGGCUAACUUCGUG
rnacentral:rRNA from 1 species